rnacentral:rRNA from 1 species
UACGAAGGGGGCUAGCGUUGUUCGGAAUUACUGGGCGUAAAGCGCGCGUAGGCGGUUUUGCAAGCCAGAGGUGAAAUGCCUGAGCUCAACUCAGGAAUGGCCUUUGGGACUGCGAGGCUUUGAGGACUGGAGAGGUGAGUGGAAUUCCCAGUGUAGAGGUGAAAUUCGUAGAUAUUGGGAAGAACACCUGUGGCGAAGGCGGCUCACUUGGCCAGUUUCUGACGCUGUAGCGCGAAGCGUGGGGAUC